AAUGCACUGGUAAAAGGGAGGGAGAGAAUGAGGGAAACAAGAAACACGUAAUCACCCAAAUAACCGUUUUAGUCCUUUCCCCCUGGAUUUGUGUCUUAAGAUAGCCUACAGUAUAUACUUCAAAGGAUACUCCGGAGGCCACGAGACUGUUCCAAUGGGACUUGAAGGACUGGACAUUGGCGAGUAGUAUGCUCGGGAGCAGGGAGCGAUGUGCCUGUUUAAGAAGCCUGACCAGAAGACUGCCCCUUCUGCAUCGCCGUUGUUUUCGGUCUGCUGCUGGAAUUAGAUCCAUUGUCCUGGGUGGUGGUCCGAAGAGAGGAUCUGCUUCGGGAAAGUCGUAUUUUUAAUGUUGAGCAUACCUCAGGGCGGUGAGCGUUUAACAGUGGGACGCGGGAAGCAGAGAUCACUGGACUGGUAAUUGUUUCCUCUAAAUCUGCUGAGCUCUGAGAACGAAAACAAAAUGCUGUGUUCAUCAGGCGGCGGAGAAAGUGAGGGGGAAAAGGACAACGCAAGAGAAAGCACCAAUGCUUUUUCCAUGUUGGCGUCUUUCACCAUAACCAAGUUACCACUGCUUAGCACUGCUUACCACUGCUUACCACAACAAGUUGCUGUGCUAGAUGAUUUAUUCAGAGGUAAAUAAAACAUGUUGUAUUUCAAGUGUUGACUUUAUACCGUUAUGUUAUUUGCAGUCUUAAUCACCUACCUUCUAUCAUUAUUCCGG
ensembl:lncRNA